AAUAAGAUGAUGAUCAAGUUGCCAUGGUAGUGGGUAUGCUCCAUCUAUCAAGCCAAGGCCGUCACCGUGGUUCACAAGUCGGCCGUGACCUAAACAUGGACAGAUGUAGGUAUUCUCAGGGUAAGAAUCUUUUGAAAGAUUACUUUAUUCCAAAUUCGUUGAUUAGGGAAGGUCGUUAUAACAAUCGUAUGAUUAACUGUUAUACGGAAAUGCA
rnacentral:lncRNA from 1 species